UACGAGUGCCCCAAGCGUUAUCCGGAUUUAUUGGGCGUAAAGAGUCUGUAGGUGGCUUAGUAAGUCAGACGUUAAAUCUUUGGGCUUAACCCAAAGGCCGCGUUUGAAACUGCUUCGCUAGAGGACGGAAGAGGUAGAUGGAAUUGCCGGUGUAGGGGUAAAAUCCGUUAAUAUCGGCAAGAACACCAAAUGCGAAGGCUUUCUACUGGAACGUUCCUGACACUGAGAGACGAAAGCGUGGGUAGCGAAUGGG
rnacentral:misc_RNA from 1 species